rnacentral:ncRNA from 2 species
GUUCAUCUUCAGGGCAGGGUGCAAUUCCCGACCGGCGGUAAUAGUCCGCGACCUACUCUUCGGGGUAGCUGAUUCGGUGCAAUUCCGAAACCGACAGUAAAGUCUGGUAUAAAGAAGAUUAUU